rnacentral:rRNA from 1 species
GACGAACGCUGGCGGCGUGCUUAACACAUGCAAGUCGAACGAAGUGGCGGACGGGUGAGUAACGCGUAGUCAACCUGCCCUUCAGGGGGGGACAACAGUUGGAAACGACUGCUAAUACCGCAUACUGAAGGAGGGGAUUGCGUGUGAUUAGCUAGUGGGAGGGGUAACGGCCCACCAAGGCGAGGAUCAGUAGCCGGUCUGAGAGGAUGAACGGCCACAUUGGGACUGAGACACGGCCCAGACUCCUACGGGAGGCAGCAGUGGGGAAUAUUGGACAAUGGGCGAAAGCCUGAUGCAGCCAUGCCGCGUGUGUGAAGAAGGUCUUCGGAUUGUAAAGCACUUUAAGUUGGGAGGCGUUACCAACAGAAGAAGCACCGGCUAACUCCGUGCCAGCAGCCGCGGUAAUAC